UACGGAGGGGGCGAGCGUUAUUCGGAAUUAUUGGGCGUAAAGGGCGCGUAGGCGGCUGUACAAGUCAAAGGUGAAAUCCCUCGGCUCAACUGAGGAACUGCCUUUGAAACUGUACGGCUUGAGGCCGGGAGGGGGUAGCGGAAUUCCCAGUGUAGCGGUGAAAUGCGUAGAUACUGGGAGGAACACCAGUGGCGAAGGCGGCUGCCUGGACCGGUUCUGACGCUGAGGCGCGAAAGCGUGGGUAGCAAGCAGG
rnacentral:rRNA from 1 species